rnacentral:rRNA from 1 species
UGGGGAAUAUUGCACAAUGGGCGCAAGCCUGAUGCAGCCAUGCCGCGUGUAUGAAGAAGGCCUUCGGGUUGUAAAGUACUUUCAGCGGGGAGGAAGGGAGUAAAGUUAAUACCUUUGCUCAUUGACGUUACCCGCAGAAGAAGCACCGGCUAACUCCGUGCCAGCAGCCGCGGUAAUACAGAGGGUGCAAGCGUUAAUCGGAAUUACUGGGCGUAAAGCGCACGCAGGCGGUUUGUUAAGUCAGAUGUGAAAUCCUCGGGCUCAACCUGGGAACUGAAUCUGAUAAUGGCAAGCUUGAGUCUCGUAGAGGGGGGUAGAAUUCCAGGUGUAGCGGUGAAAUGCGUUGAGAUCUGGGGGAAUACCGGUGGCGAAGGCGGCCCCCUGGACGAAGACUGACGAUCAGGUGCGAAAGCGUGGGGAGCAAACAGG